GACGUAGGGCGCGAGCGUUGUCCGGAUUUAUUGGGCGUAAAGAGCUCGUAGGCGGCUUGUCGCGUCGACUGUGAAAACCCGCGGCUCAACUGCGGGCUUGCAGCCGAUACGGGCAGACUAGAGUACUGCAGGGGAGACUGGAAUUCCUGGUGUAGCGGUGGAAUGCGCAGAUAUCAGGAGGAACACCGGUGGCGAAGGCGGAUCUCUGGGCCAUUACUGACGCGAGGAGCGAAAGCGUGGGGAGCGAACAGG
rnacentral:rRNA from 1 species